CAGAGGGUGCAAGCGUUGCUCGGAAUUAUUGGGCGUAAAGGGCAGGUAGGUGGUCUUAUUUGUCUAGGGUGAAAUCCCGGAGCUUAACUUCGGAAGUGCCUUAGAAACGGUAAGACUAGAGUCCUAGAGAGGUUUGUGGAAUUCCCGGUGUAGCGGUGAAAUGCGUAGAGAUCGGGAGGAAUACCAGCAGCGAAGGCGGCAAACUGGAUAGGCACUGACACUCAACUGCGAAAGCGUGGGGAGCAAACAGGAUUAGAUACCCUGGUAGUCCACGCCGUAAACGAUGGGUACUAGGCUUUAUGGGAAUUGACCCCUGUGGAGCCGGAGCUAACGCAAUAAGUACCCCGCCUGGGAAGUACGGUCGCAAGACUA
rnacentral:rRNA from 1 species